rnacentral:rRNA from 1 species
UCNUGGGAUAAUACUGACGUUCAUGCCCGAAAGCGUGGGUAGCAAACAGGAUUAGAUACCCUGGUAGUCCACGCCCUAAACGAUGUCGAUUAGCUGUUGGGCAACUUGAUUGCUUAGUAGCGAAGCUAACGCGUGAAAUCGACCGCCUGGGGAGUACGGUCGCAAGAUUAAAACUUAAAGGAAUUGACGGGGACCCGCACAAGCGGUGGAUGAUGUGGAUUAAUUCGAUGCAACGCGAAGAACCUUACCUGGUCUUGACAUGUACGGAACCUUCCAGAGACGGAAGGGUGCCUUCGGGAGCCGUAACACAGGUGCCGCAUGGCUGUCGUCAGCUCGUGUCGUGAGAUGUUGGGUUAAGUCCCGCAACGAGCGCAACCCUUGUCAUUAGUUGCCAUCAUUAAGUUGGGCACUCUAAUGAGACUGCCGGUGACAAACCGGAGGAAGGUGGGGAUGACGUCAAGUCCUCAUGGCCCUUAUGACCAGGGCUUCACACGUCAUACAAUGGUCGGUACAGAGGGUAGCCAAGCCGCGAGGCGGAGCCAAUCCCAGAAAACCGAUNGUAGUCCGGAUUGCACUCUGCAACUNGAGUGCAUGAAGUCGGAAUCGCUAGUAAUCGCAGGUCAGCAUANUGCGGUGAAUACGUUCCCGGGUCUUGUACACACCGCCCGUCACACCAUGGGAGUGGGGGAUACCAGAAGCAGGUAGGAUAACCGCAAGGANUCCGCUU